GGCUUACCAAGGCAAUGAUGCAUAGCCGAGUUGAGAGACUGAUCGGCCACAUUGGGACUGAGACACGGCCCAAACUCCUACGGGAGGCAGCAGUAGGGAAUCUUCCACAAUGGACGAAAGUCUGAUGGAGCAACGCCGCGUGAGUGAAGAAGGGUUUCGGCUCGUAAAGCUCUGUUGGUAGUGAAGAAAGAUAGAGGUAGUAACUGGCCUUUAUUUGACGGUAAUUACUUAGAAAGUCACGGCUAACUACGUGCCAGCAGCCGCGGUAAUACGUAGGUGGCAAGCGUUGUCCGGAUUUAUUGGGCGUAAAGCGAGUGCAGGCGGUUCAAUAAGUCUGAUGUGAAAGCCUUCGGCUCAACCGGAGAAUUGCAUCAGAAACUGUUGAACUUGAGUGCAGAAGAGGAGAGUGGAACUCCAUGUGUAGCGGUGGAAUGCGUAGAUAUAUGGAAGAACACCAGUGGCGAAGGCGGCUCUCUGGUCUGCAACUGACGCUGAGGCUCGAAAGCAUGGGUAGCGAACAGGAUUAGAUACCCUGGUAGUCCAUGCCGUAAACGAUGAGUGCUAAGUGUUGGGAGGUUUCCGCCUCUCAGUGCUGCAGCUAACGCA
rnacentral:rRNA from 1 species